UACGGGGGGGGCAAGCGUUGUUCGGAAUUACUGGGCGUAAAGGGCUCGUAGGUGGCCAACUAAGUCAGACGUGAAAUCCCUCAGCUUAGCUGGGGAACUGCGUCUGAUACUGGAUGGCUUGAGAUUGGGAGAGGGAUGCGGAAUUCCAGGUGUAGCGGUGAAAUGCGCAGAUAUCAGGAGGAACACCGGUGGCGAAGGCGGUUCUCUGGGCAUUACCUGACGCUGAGGAGCGAAAGUGUGGGGAGCGAACAGG
rnacentral:rRNA from 1 species